AUUGCACGCUGGCGGCAGGCCUAACACAUGCAAGUCGAGCGAGCGGCGGACGGGUGAGUAAUGUCUGGGAAACUGCCUGAUGGAGGGGGAUAACUACUGGAAACGGUAGCUAAUACCGCAUACCAUCAGAUGUGCCCAGAUGGGAUUAGCUAGUAGUUGGGGUAACGGCUCACCUAGGCGACGAUCCCUAGCUGGUCUGCAAGGAUGACCAGCCACACUGGAACUGAGAAACAGCCCAGACUCCUACGGGUGGCAGCAGGGGGGAAUAUUGCCAAAUGGGCGAAAGCCUGAUGCAGCCAUGCCGCGUGUAUGAAGAAGGCCUUCGGGUUUUAAAUUACUUUCAGCGGGGAGGCGGUACCCGCAGAAGAAGCACCGGCUAACUCCGUGCCAGCCGCCGCGGUAAUAC
rnacentral:rRNA from 1 species